rnacentral:rRNA from 1 species
UAACAAGGAUUCCCCUAGUAACUGCGAGUGAAGCGGGAAAAGCUCAAAUUUAAAAUCUGGCAGUCUUUGGCUGUCCGAAUUGUAGUCUGGAGAAGUGCUUUCCGCGCUGGACCGUGUAAAAGUCUCUUGGAAUAGAGCGUCAUAGAGGGUGAGAAUCCCGUCUUUGACACGGACAACCAGUGCUUUGUGAUGCGCUCUCAAAGAGUCGAGUUGUUUGGGAAUGCAGCUCAAAAUGGGUGGUAAAUUCCAUCUAAAGCUAAAUAUUGGCGAGAGACCGAUAGCGAACAAGUACCGUGAGGGAAAGAUGAAAAGCACUUUGGAAAGAGAGUUAAACAGUACGUGAAAUUGCUGAAAGGGAAACGCUUGAAGUCAGUCGCGUUGGCCAGAACUCAGCCUGGCUUUUGCUUGGUGCAUUUUCUGGUUGACGGGCCAGCAUCAAUUUUGACUGUUGGAUAAAGGCUUUGGGAAUGUGGCAUCUUCGGAUGUGUUAUAGCCCUUGGUUGCAUACAUCAGUUGGGAUUGAGGAUCGCAGCAUGCCUUUAUGGUCGGGGUUCGCCCACGUUCAUGCUUAGGAUGCUGGCGU